rnacentral:rRNA from 1 species
GAUAAACGCUGGCGGCAUGCCUUACACAUGCAAGUCGAACGGUAACAGGUCUUCGGAUGCUGACGAGUGGCGAACGGGUGAGUAAUACAUCGGAACGUGCCCGAGAGUGGGGGAUAACGAGGCGAAAGCUUUGCUAAUACCGCAUACGAUCUCAGGAUGAAAGCAGGGGACCGCAAGGCCUUGCGCUCACGGAGCGGCCGAUGGCAGAUUAGGUAGUUGGUGGGAUAAAAGCUUACCAAGCCGACGAUCUGUAGCUGGUCUGAGAGGACGACCAGCCACACUGGGACUGAGACACGGCCCAGACUCCUACGGGAGGCAGCAGUGGGGAAUUUUGGACAAUGGGCGCAAGCCUGAUCCAGCCAUGCCGCGUGCAGGAUGAAGGCCUUCGGGUUGUAAACUGCUUUUGUACGGAACGAAAAGACUUCUUCUAAUAAAGGGGGUCCAUGACGAUACCGUAAGAAUAAGCACCGGCUAACUACGUGCCAGCCGCCGCGGUAAGAC